rnacentral:rRNA from 1 species
GACGAACGCUGGCGGCGUGCUUAACACAUGCAAGUCGAACGGAAAGGCCCUGCUUUUGUGGGGUGCUCGAGUGGCGAACGGGUGAGUAACACUUGAGUAACCUGCCCUUGACUUUGGGAUAACUUCAGGAAACUGGGGCUAAUACCGGCUAGGAGCUCCUGCUGCUUGGUGGGGGUUGGAAAGUUUCGGCGGUUGGGGAUGGACUCGCGGCGUAUCAGCUUGUUGGUGGGGUAGUGGCUUACCAAGGCUUUGACGGGUAGCCGGCCUGGGAGGGUGACCGGACAAACUAGGACGGAGAUGAGGCACAGACUAGUACGGGAGGCAGCGGAGGGGAAGAUUGCACAAGGGGCGGAAGCCUGAUGCAACAAAGCAGCGUGCGGGAUGACGGGAUUGGGGUUGUGAACCGCUUUCGCCUGUGACGAAGCGUGAGUGACAGUAAUGGGUAAAGAAGCUCCGGCUAACUACGUG